CCUACGGGUGGCUGCAGUGGGGAAUAUUGGACAAUGGGGGGAACCCUGAUCCAGCCAUGCUGCGUGUGUGAAGAAGGCCCUCGGGUUGUAAAGCACUUUCAGUGAGGAAGAACGCCUGGUGGUUAAUACCCAUCAGGAAAGACAUCACUCACAGAAGAAGCACCGGCUAACUCCGUGCCAGCAGCCGCGGUAAUACGGAGGGUGCGAGCGUUAAUCGGAAUUACUGGGCGUAAAGCGCGCGUAGGUGGCUUGAUAAGCCGGUUGUGAAAGCCCCGGGCUCAACCUGGGAACGGCAUCCGGAACUGUCAAGCUAGAGUGCAGGAGAGGAAGGUAGAAUUCCCGGUGUAGCGGUGAAAUGCGUAGAGAUCGGGAGGAAUACCAGUGGCGAAGGCGGCCUUCUGGACUGACACUGACACUGAGGUGCGAAAGCGUGGGUAGCAAACAGGAUUAGAUACCCUUGUAGUC
rnacentral:rRNA from 1 species